CAGUAGCCGCGGUAAUACGUAGGGUGCAAGCGUUAAUCGGAAUUACUGGGCGUAAAGCGUGCGCAGGCGGUUAUAUAAGACAGAUGUGAAAUCCCCGGGCUCAACCUGGGAACUGCAUUUGUGACUGUAUAGCUAGAGUACGGCAGAGGGGGAUGGAAUUCCGCGUGUAGCAGUGAAAUGCGUAGAUAUGCGGAGGAACACCGAUGGCGAAGGCAAUUCCCUGGGCCUGUACUGACGCUCAUGCACGAAAGCGUGGGGAGCAAACAGGAUUAGAUACCCGGGUAGUCCCUGUCUCUUAUAA
rnacentral:rRNA from 1 species